rnacentral:rRNA from 1 species
UACAGAGGUCUCAAGCGUUGUUCGGGAUUCAUUGGGCGUAAAGGGUGUGUAGGUGGCGCGCUAAGUCGGGUGUGAAAUUUCGGAGCUUAACUCCGAAACUGCAUUCGAUACUGGCGUGCUUGAGGACUGGAGAGGAGACUGGAAUUCAUGGUGUAGCAGUGAAAUGCGUAGAGAUCAUGAGGAAGACCAGUGGCGAAGGCGGGUCUCUGGACAGUUCCUGACACUGAGACACGAAGGCCAGGGGAGCAAACGGG